UUGAAAGAGCCUAUUCAUUCAUUGUUUUUUAAUAGAUUCUCGUUUGUUAUAUUGAAUAAUCAUUUUAGGCGCCAAGGGUAUGUCUCGAUCGCCACGGACAGAAAAACAAUAUCUAAAAUUUUGAAGCCUCGAGGCCAAAUUCUACGGAAACUUUUCAGCAAAGUGAAACUGCACACGUCAAUAUAUAUAAAAAACCGUGGUGGCUCAUUAGGAAUUAGAUAAGAAUUACGGGUGCACUGCAUACAACGUGGCAUAUACUCUGUUAUCUUAGUCUAACGUGCAAAACCAAGAUAAGUGGUUAUAACCAUGGAAAAUAAAGAUAAACACUAUCUUUUCUACAACAUUCUUCGAGGGAACUACCUGAUUUCGUAAACUUUAAUUUUAUGCAAAAUUUAAAAGAAGUUUCAAAGCUUUUGAGAUAAAAGUGAUCAUUCGACUCCUUGUUAGAUUUGAGACUGUUUAUAGCCUAUGCAACUCAUUGAUUAGUAAUCCGUUUAUUCAAACAAAGACGCACUAAUGGAUGUGAUAAAAAAAUGUUAUCUCUUAUUUUAAUCAAAAUACCACUUGGAUAAGGCACCAUUUAAUUAUUCAAUGUUAUGCUAAAGUCAAGAUCAAAAACAAAAACAGAAAAAGGGACCCUUGAGGGGAGCACAAGGACACAAAUGAUUACAUAAUCAGAUUAUUCGGUUUUUAAUAAACUGAGUUGAGAACGUGACUUGGCUGACAAAGGACCAACGCUCGAGAAACAUCUUUUUUAGAAUGGCUCUUGGGUGAAAAUUCACAUCAUCGACUCAGUUGAUAAAAGUAAAUAUUAAAUACCUUGAUUAAAGAAAGAGCUCUAAUGAGGCAAAAAAUUUGGUGCUCUUUAGCAGAGGAAACGAUUUACGCAACUCUGGUACUUGAGGCACUGAAGUGAAAACAAUUGUCUGCAAAGUCAAUGGUAGAGACUAGUUACAACGUGAUACGUUGACACGUGCAGGACUGUGACUGCAAAUUGCAGAAACACUCUUCAUUCUUCAUGUGUUUUAAAGCUCACAUUUUCCGAUGGCCAAGUUCGCGAUUUGCUUGAGGAAAUGGGGACAUACUUGGAAGGUCAUUUAGCGAUCUUAGACAAUACAAAACCACUGGAUGACCACCUGGCAAGAUGGGACUGAUUCGUAAUCCUGGCAGUUCGCUUUUUGUCGGAGCAGCCGACCGUGCAAUAAAUUCUGCAAAGGCCAGGUAGAUAGAGAUAGAUAGAUAAAUAGAUAGAUAGAUAGAGCAGGUAAAUGUUUGUUUAGUGUUUACUGUUGUCGAAAAUUUUCUGAUCCACGUUUGUUUGAAGUUUCAUUCUUUCUAAAAAAGUUACUGUUCUUCCCGUAGGGUCCGGAAUAUCCCGAGGUCCAACCGAGUAACUGAAUAAAUCUGCUUGUUUUUUGGCU
rnacentral:lncRNA from 1 species